CCGGGGCUGUGCGGGCUGCACCGCCGCGCUCCCGGGGCCCGCUCCAGCGUCCCCCCGGCUCCCCGAGCAGGGCUCCCCGCUGUCUCUGCGCUGAUCCCGUGUCCCGCAAGCCUCGCACCCGCCGGGCAGCCUGGACGGGGACCCUGCGCUCCGCACAUCCCAGUGGAACCUACCGUGGUGCCACCGCUGUCGAGAUCCCCCCGGGUGAGGAGGUCAGCCCCACAGCUCCGCCGGUGACUGACUGCAACUCGAAUUAAAGUAUUACAACAAACAGGAAGUGUUUUCCUGCCAUUCCAACAGUUUAACUGGAGAAUUUGCCCCCAGCACAGGCAGGAUCAGAAAUUCUGAUACAAUGACCUGGUAUGAAGUCACUCUCCUCAGUGCUGUGUUCAUGGCAUAGCCACCCCGCUCUUGCUGCAAGUCACCUUUAGGUACUGAGACAUUGCCAAAGAGAUGGGCCAGGGGACUGUGACAUUUCCACAUUUCCUUUUUUGACAAAAUCAGGACUAUCCCCAGUUGGCAAAUACUAUGAUCUCCGAGCAAUGUGCUGACUGUUUUGUCUGUAGGAGAUAUCACAACCAAACUGCUCUUGCAAGGGAUAUGUGGGAGCUGCAAGAAAUGGCAACAGCCAUUCAGAAGGGCUUUCAGCAAGUGGCUGCCAAAUUACGAAACACUCUGGAUUCCAGCAAUGCACAUCUCUGCUGUCUGCUGCACUCGGAGUAUCUGGGAAGAGGAGGAGGAAAACAAGCUUAUCAUUUAUAAAAUUAUUGCUGGUUUUGUGGUUGUGAGGCUCUCUGCAGUGUACAAGAAUAACUUGUUUGUGACAUCAGUAAAACAAGGAUGUGCAACCGA